AAAAUAUGCAUCGAGCAUUUUCUAAUUAGUUCCUUAAAAUGCUCUCAUGCUUCAUAUAAUGUCUCAUCUUCAAAUUGCCUGAACAACAUAAUGUCGUUCCUAAUCUU
rnacentral:snoRNA from 1 species